GCAUGCCUGACACAUGCAAGCCUAACGAAGGCUUCGGCCUUAGUGGCGCACGGGUGAGUAACACGUGGGAACCUGCCUCUUUGUUCGGAAUAACACCGGGAAACUGGUGCUAAUACCGGAUACGCCCUACGGGGGAAAGAUUUAUCGCAGAGAGAGGGGCCCGCGUCCGAUUAGGUAGUUGGUGGGGUAAUGGCCUACCAAGCCGACGAUCGGUAGCUGGUCUGAGAGGAUGAUCAGCCACACUGGGACUGAGACACGGCCCAGACUCCUACGGGAGGCAGCAGUGGGGAAUAUUGGACAAUGGGCGCAAGCCUGAUCCAGCAAUGCCGCGUGAAUGAUGAAGGCCUUAGGGUUGUAAAGUCCUUUCGUCGGGGACGAUGAUGACGGUACCCGAAGAAGAAGCCCCGGCUAACUUCGUGCCAGCAGCCGCGGUAAUACGAAGGGGGCUAGCGUUGUUCGGAAUUACUGGGCGUAAAGGGCGCGUAGGCGGCCAUUCAAGUUAGAUGUGAAAGCCCUGGGCUCAACCUAGGAAUUGCAUUUGAUACUGUUUGGCUUGAGUUCGGGAGAGGUGAGUGGAAUUCCCAGUGUAGAGGUGAAAUUUCGUAGAUAUUUGGGAAGAACACCAGUGGCUGAAGGCCGGCUCACUGGACCGACACUGACGCUGAGGCGCGAAAGCGUGGGGGAGCAAACAGGAUUUAGAUUACCCUGGUAGUCCACUGCCGUUAAACGAUGUGUGCUAAACGCUGGGAAAACAUAGUUUUUUUCGGUGUCCGCAGCUUAACGCUUUUAGCUCACCCCGCCUGGGGAGGUACCGUUCGCCAAGUAUUA
rnacentral:rRNA from 1 species